rnacentral:rRNA from 1 species
GACAGAGGUGGCGAGCGUUGUUCGGUGUCACUGGGCUUAAAGCGUGUGUAGGCGGCCUGUUUAGUCCCUUGUGAAAUACCCCGGCUUAACCGGGGAACUGCUUGGGAUACUGGCAGGCUUGAGGCAGGUAUGGGUGCGGGGAACAGUUGGUGGAGCGGUGGAAUGCGUAGAUAUCAACUGGAACGCCGGCGGUGAAGACGCUGCACUGGGCCUGAUCUGACGCUGAGACACGAAAGCGUGGGUAUAAAACGGG